rnacentral:misc_RNA from 1 species
GAUGAAGAACGUAGCGAAAUGCGAUAAGUAAUGUGAAUUGUAGAAUUCAGUGAAUCAUCGAAUCUUUGAACGCACAUUGCGCCCUCUGGUAUUCCGGGGGGCAUGCCUGUUCGAGCGUCAUUAUAACCACUCAAGCUCUCGCUUGGUAUUGGGGUUCGCGGUUCCGCGGCCCCUAAAAUCAGUGGCGGUGCCUGUCGGCUCUACGCGUAGUAAUACUCCUCGCGAUUGAGUCCGGUAGGUCUACUUGCCAGCAACCCCCAAUUUUUACAGGUUGACCUCGGAUCAGGUAGGGAUACCCGCUGAACUUAAGCAUAUCAAUAAGCGGAGGA